ensembl:processed_transcript Snhg3 small nucleolar RNA host gene 3
UUGGUUCCUGCCUUGUGAUUUGAAGUGUUAGCCGCCUUCCAGCGUUCGGUUUUAACUUAAUCAUUUCGCCUUGCUUCCCAGUUAUACUUUCUCUUCACCUUGUAACGGGAUUUCUGCAGUUUUUUGUUCAUUAAUCUCCCAUUUUUCAGAGGACCCUUUUUUAGACCCGGUCAAUGAUUUCAGGUACUUUGUUGAUGGAGGAAAGAAGAGAAUCAGCGGGGGCACCUACUGAAUAGUUAUUAUAUACAGCGUGCUAAAAUUUUGUCUGUUACAGCCUCGGCCAUUAGAAGCUGGGGCAAGCUUUUCUGCCUACUUAACUCUGGUAAAUACAUUUCUUUUGAUAGGUUAUGUCUAGAUUUGAGAACCUUCACCAUGGUUCUCAUUUUUUGAGGUCCCAACAGGUUUCCCCCAGACCAUAUUAUAUAAACCAUAUAUGUCAU